UAGGGAAUAUUAGUAAUGGGCGCAAGCCUGAACUAGCAACGCCGCGUGUGCGAAGAAGGCCUUCGGGUUGUAAAGCACUUUUUGAGAGGAUGAGGAAGGACGGUACUCUCAGAAUAAGUCUCGGCUAACUACGUGCCAGCAGCCGCGGUAACACGUAGGAGGCGAACGUUAUCCGGAUUUACUGGGCGUAAAGCGCGUGUAGGUGGUUUGGUAAGUAGGGCGUGAAAGCUCCUGGCUCAACUGGGAGAGGCCGUUCUAAACUGCCGAACUAGAGGAUGGUAGAGGGAGGUAGAAUUCCGGGUGUAGCGGUGGAAUGCGCAGGUAUCCGGAGGAACACCAGUGGCGAAAGCGGCCUCCUGGACCAUUCCUGACACUCAGACGCGAAAGCUAGGGUAGCAAACGG
rnacentral:rRNA from 1 species